GACUGGUUUCUGUGCAGUGGUAUUUACAACUAAUUGAUUGCAACCGGUUACAGAUUUCUUUAUUCCUUCUUGACUGCCACUGGUUCACUUAGCUAGCCUUUC
ensembl:misc_RNA Y_RNA Y RNA